GUCCACGCCGUAAACGAUGUCUACUAGCCGUUGGGUUCCUUGAGGACUUAGUGGCGCAGCUAACGCAAUAAGUAGACCGCCUGGGGAGUACGGUCGCAAGAUUAAACUCAAUGAAUUGACGGUGGCCCCGCACAAGCGGUGGAGCAUGUGGUUUAAUUCGACGCAACGCGAAGAACCUUACCAGGUCUUGACAUCCAGAGAACUUUCCAGAGAUGGAUUGGUGCCUUCGGGAACUCUGAGACAGGUGCUGCAUGGCUGUCGU
rnacentral:rRNA from 1 species